rnacentral:lncRNA from 1 species
GAGAAUUAGCAAGAAAAUCAUCCAAGAUCGGAUGUGACUUUCAAUAUUUGUGGCGUUCGGUAGGUCGCUAGGUAAUAUUUCAAGGAGAUGACAUAAGAAUGAUUUUGAAUUGACGACCACACAUAAAUACAGUGCUAAUAUGUCUUCUAAUUUUUUUUUACAAAUUAUAAUUUGACGCAUAUUUAGAAUAAAUUUUGUUGACGUGUGAUUUUUGUGUGAUUAAUAUAGGGCUUUGACCUUAUCAAUGCCUUUUAUUGGGUCGGGUAAGAAGCACAUAUCUUCU